UAAAGACUGAGAAAGCAAGUAAUAAUGGAACUUAUAUUUAUCAUGGUUUGGUUAUAUAGGAGAUAAUAUUUUUGGGUCAAGCACGCCUGAUGCAGCUGAAUCUCUGAAAGCAAUGUGUCAGGCUGCUAUGAACUCAGUAAACUUAACUCAAUCAAGUAAAUGCUAAGAAAAUAGGUAAAAUAGUAAGUUUUAUUCAUUAAAUCACUAUGAAUGCACCCAUUAUAACCACCCCCUGCAGACCCCCUCAACUGCCACCACCACCUGCAGAUGCUCCCCCUUGCUGCCACCACCCCCUGCAGACCCCCCCUGCUGCCACCACCCCCUGCAGAUGCUCCUCCUACUGCCACCAACCCCCUGCAGACCCCCCUACAGUGAAUUGACAUGCUUGUAAUUUCUGAGUUGUAAACUGUGCAUGUUGUUUUCUUAUUGAAUUGCAUUUUCUGGUUAAUCAUGAAUGUGCUAGGCAUAAAAAUAAGGAUGGGACUGCGUGCUGGGAACCGAUUGCUGAAAAAAAUUAUGAGGAACUCAAAAAACUUCAUGAAACUUAGAUUCAGGACAUGGUGAGGAUACACUCAAUGUGAAAGAUUCUUACAUUAAAGCUUUGAAACGUAAAUCUGGGUAUGUGAGAGGACUUGGUCCUGGAGCUCGACCACCAAAAAAAAAGGUAAAACUGGAGAGAACAAUGAACGAUUGUCUACCCAAGUUGACACUCUUGCUGUAUCAAACGAGGAACUUAGAGUAUCAAACGAACAACUUAAAGCAUCUAAUGAAGAGUUCAAGGCAUCCAAUGAAGAGCUUAGAGCUGAAUUUUCUAAACUGAACAAAGAAGCUAUUGAACGUGAAAAGAAAAUGAGAGAAGAUAUGCUGAAACUGUUUCAGGACAUGAGGAACAAUGGGUCGUGACUAUUUUCCGAAAUUAGUAGAGGAAAGCUAUGAUAAGGCUUGGAUUGUGUGAAUUUCUUCGUAGAUUAUGAGUAUUGCUAAUUAGUUUUUUUUAGAUUUACAUUGAAUUAUUCAAGUUACAUCGAAUGUCAAAUUUGAAGAUUAUUUUGUUGUACUCCGAUUAUAUACAAUUUGUUAUUCCACG